rnacentral:rRNA from 1 species
UACAGAGGGGGCGAGCGUUAUUCGGAAUUAUUGGGCGUAAAGGGCGCGUAGGCGGCGAUUCAAGUGACGGGUGAAAUCCCUCGGCUUAACCGAGGAACUGCCUGUCAGACUGGAUUGCUUGAGGCCGGGAGAGGUGAGUGGAAUUCCCAGUGUAGCGGUGAAAUGCGUAGAUAUUGGGAGGAACACCAGUGGCGAAGGCGGCUCACUGGACCGGUACUGACGCUGAGGCGCGAAAGCGUGGGGAGCGAACAGG